UACGGAGGGUGCGAGCGUUGUCCGGAAUCACUGGGCGUAAAGGGCGCGUAGGUGGCUCGUUAAGUGGUCGGUGAAAUCCCGGGGCUCAACUCCGGGGCUGCCGGUCAGACUGGCGGGCUAGAGCACGGUAGGGGCAGAUGGAAUUCCCGGUGUAGCGGUGGAAUGCGUAGAUAUCGGGAAGAACACCAGUGGCGAAGGCGUUCUGCUGGGCCGUUGCUGACACUGAGGCGCGACAGCGUGGGGGGCAAACAGG
rnacentral:rRNA from 1 species